GGGAUUGUGGCUCAGUGGUAGAGCAUUCGCCUUGCACAUGUGAUACCUGGGUUCGAUCCUCAGCACCA
rnacentral:tRNA from 1 species